GACGAACGCUGGCGGCGUGCUAAACACAUGCAAGUCGAACGGUAAGGCCCUUCGGGGUACACGAGUGGCGAACGGGUGAGUAACACGUGGGUGAUCUGCCCUGCACUUCGGGAUAAGCCUGGGAAACUGGGUCUAAUACCGGAUAGGACCACUGCCUGCAUGGGUGGUGGUGGAAAGCUUUUGCGGUUGGGGAUGGGCCCGCGGCCUAUCAGCUUGUUGGUGGGGUGAUGGCCUACCAAGGCGACGGCGGGUAGCCGGCCUGAGAGGGUGACCGGCCACACUGGGACUUAGAGACGGCCCAGACUCCUACGGGAGGCAGCAGUGGGGAAUAUUGCACAAUGGGCGCAAGCCUGAUGCAGCGACGCCGCGUGAGGGAUGACGGCCUUCGGGUUGUAAACCUCUUUCAGCACCGACGAAGCGCAAGUGACGGUAGGUGCAGAAGAAGGACCGGCCAACUACGUGCCAGCAGCCGCAGUAA
rnacentral:rRNA from 1 species